GCGUUGGUGAUUCAAUGGUAAAACUUUGCCUUUCAUGCGGGAGACCAGGGUUCAAUUCCCAGCCAGUGCA
rnacentral:tRNA from 1 species